CUUUAAUGUGAAGUCAACCGACAGGGCUAUGGCAAUUGACACAUUCGAGAUGUCCAACAUAUGGAAAAGGAAACAACCAAAAGUGAAGCUGGAUCCACACAUGUACAAGUACAUCCUUGGGAUCAUCAAUGAGAACCACCACUGGAAACUCACUGUCAUGAUCCCAUCACAAAAAAAGGCUCUCUUACUCGAUCCUCUUGGGGAAUCCAGUACCGACAUAAAUAGUUGCAAAGAUGUAACAAGGUAAGCUGAGAUUUUGCUCUUGGAUUUCUAUUGGGACGUUCAUACAGAGUGUAUAGCAAUCCACUACAGUUACUUUUCAUAUAUUUCAGAGCCUUCAUGAGACUUAGGGGGAUUAAUGUGUCCAGAUGGGGAUGCGACACAGUCCCACACCCUCGUCAGACUGACAGUACCUCCUGCGGGCCCUUUGUAUUGAAAGUAAGUGUUAGGGGAUGGGCCAACUAUGAUUUAAAUAAAAUUAACACAUUGUCUGUCAGUGACAAUGCAUCCAAAGCCAAUG
rnacentral:lncRNA from 1 species